UCAUGUUGUAACAGUAAUGGAGCAAAAUGAAUCGUGCACAAUUCAGUAAUGUAUUAGGUCGUCCCAUAAGUUCGUGCCAAAGACUGUGUCGAAAUUGAAUAAAAAACCACAGAAAUUUUCUAGUAACGGUAUAAUGACUAUCUGAGAGAGAUGAGAAACUAUUGUGAAAUGAGACAGAUUAUCUUUUCUUGUGACACUUAAGAGUAUGUUUAACAUAUUAAUUUGAGAAAUUGAAGUAUAAAUGACACGAACUUUUAGGACGACCUAAUAACAUAAAACAUAAAACAUUGUGCAUUUAUUACUUAUUAAUAAAGCGAAAGAAACUUUUGGGACAACCUAAUACAAAUCAAAUUUUACACGCAUAUUCCAGAUGCUGUAUUUUUAGAAAAUUCCUAGAACAAGAAUUCGAUUUUUCAAAACCUCGAAAAUAAGAGGACUCUCUAGUAAGAAGUAGAUAAAAUUAAACAAGAAAAAGAAAAGAAAGUAAAAUAGUGGUCGUUUUCAAUUAUAUUUGCGAAGAGGACGCACGAAUCGCUGGAUAGGCUGCGCAUGGAGUCAUUGCGCAGACCACGUGACCCCUUUGUGAGCAGCUGGCGCUGUCGACGGCGUAGUUUACCCUCCCCUUCGACUAGUGGCCAGCAAGCCUUGGCUGCGACAAGACGUGUGUUUGGUUCGUACCGCGACGAUCCCUCCAUCGCGGCUACGCGAGAGACUCCUUUUUUCUCUUUCCCUCCCUCUCUCGCUUGUGUGUGCGCGCGCGCGUGUUUUUCGGUGUUUGUGUGUGCGUGCUUGAUCUGUACGAAGUGGCAAGUGUCUGGCUCGGCCGCAGGACCCGGACAGUGAGAGAAAUUCGUCGGUCGUACGCGAACCGUGGAAUAAUUUGGCCCCAAACGCCGGAAUCGCUCUGUGGCCAUCGAGGACUCGACCGAGCCUUUCAGUGUUCUCUCGUUCCUUUCUCUGUUUCGUGCUAGCGUGCUUUUCUUACGGGACAAGCACCGCCCCCUUUCCACCUCUGAAUGCAACGUUAUGAGGCCAGCUGAGCGUAACUGACGGGAAGAGGGAGAACGGAUAGCGUGCGUGUGUCAAACAUAACCUAAAGCGUCGUCACCCGUGGAUCUCUGUGACUACGCGGAAAAAAACGUGGCGCGUACUUUCAACGCACCUGCAUUCGUGACUCGCGAUAAUCGCGCGAUCGAGGACACCUUUUGUCUCGAUAAGUAGCAUCGAGUUGCUAAACGACUCGACGAACCCGUGACCGUUCGUCCUAUUCUCGACGCUUUCGAAUUGAAAACGUCUCGACACGCAACGCCCCGUCCUCCGCCAACUGAAGUCGCGGGAUACGUGCACGAGGACAUCGACUGUCUUUGUCGACGACCAACCUCCGUUAUCGCUUUCUACGUGGUUGCGAUAAAGGACGCGACCGCAGUCGCUGUGCUGUGUCGAGCGUGGUGUCACGUAGCCCCCUUCGACCCUUCCCGCCGUUCUCCAGUAAGCGCGCGUUAUUUAAAUCGCAAAGUUCGCGACGAACGAGUAACUCCGUAACGCGAUUAAUUAUUUUCACAGAACUCGUUACUACCGACCUUAAUCGAACCUCGAAUCUAUACUUGAAACGUUCGAGACGUAACGAGAAUCGUGCUCCAAAAUCACGACAUGGAAUCGACUACCACACACGAAUCGCUCCACCUGUGAACAACUACUUCUCUACUACGAAGCCUGCCACCAAUGAUUGCGAAAAGAGCCACGGUACAAUAUCAUCGAUAAACGACGAACCAACGGAUCUUAUGCUCUCGAACCUGUGCCGUGGAAUACAUAGCAACAUUCGACUCGUGAAAGCUACUGUUUCACGACAAAUCUACGACGCUUCUUAUCAGUGGUACGCGAAAACAGUAACAAAGUGAUCAUCGAUAGACGUCGAUGAUCAUAAAGCUUCCUUAAUCGCUACUUUAAUCGUUCCAGAUACAUCAGAGGUUCUCAUAUUUUUUAAUCGCGUCAUGGUAUCGAUUGCGAUAGUGAAAUCGUUGGACGUGUAAAGAACCACCGUUUUCCGACUGUACAGUGCGGGGAAUCCGCGAGGCCUGGCAAGCAGUGAUCGCGAGAGCCACGGAUACGAUCAUCGAUAAACGUCGAUGAUCAUAAAGCUCGUUCGUCCUGGACGAAUGUUCUUCUCGAUCGCGCGGUGAAGAAAAAAGGAAACGACCUCGACGAAGUUGUGUGUCAGUGUCACGUGCGUGUCCCGCCGCGGAGGCAACGAGAUCAAAGUGUUCCCUGGGAAAGGUGAAAAUAGUGAGGAAAAAUAGAAACGGGAAGCAGGAGCGCGGAGACGAGGCGUGUCCCAGGUUCCCUGAAACAGCGGGGGCCUUGGCGGUGGCGGUGGCGGUGAAUCAGGAAAGGGUUGAGGUUGAGGAGGGUGGCCCGUAGGACGAGAGGAGAGCUUUGAUGGCAGUAGUUGGGCCCAGCCGGCACUCGCGGGUGUCCAUGAGCGUGUCUAUGUCGCUGAUGCAGGGGGGUGGGGCGGGGGCGACGGGGGGCGGCGGGACAACGGGGGCCCACCCGGGGCAAGCGGUCCUCGCUGCGGCGGCCGCGGCAGCGGCUGCGGCCCAAGCACCCCCCACCUACUACCACCCCGCCGCUCCUGCGCCCCCGCCGCCGCCGCCGGCCCAGGAUCCCGUUCAGCCCGACAGACCCAUCGGAUAUGGUGCCUUCGGCGUCGUCUGGGCGGUCACGGAUCCGAGGGACGGUAGGAGAGUGGCUUUGAAGAAACUGCCAAACGUCUUUCAGAGCCUCGUCAGCAGCAAACGAGUCUUCAGGGAGCUGAAAAUGCUCUGCUUCUUCAAACACGAAAACGUCCUCUCGGCCCUGGACAUCCUGCAGCCACCGCACCUGGACUUCUUCCAAGAAAUAUACGUGAUCACGGAGCUGCUACAGAGCGAUCUACACAAGAUCAUCGUCAGUCCGCAGCAUCUCAGCCCCGACCACAUCAAGGUCUUCCUGUACCAGAUACUACGAGGUCUCAAGUACCUUCACUCGGCCAGAAUCCUACACAGGGACAUCAAGCCGGGUAACCUGCUCGUCAACAGCAACUGCGUGCUGAAGAUCUGCGACUUCGGACUGGCCCGUGUGGAGGAGCCCGAUCAGAACAAGCACAUGACCCAGGAAGUGGUGACGCAGUAUUAUCGCGCGCCGGAAAUCCUGAUGGGAGCGCGGCACUACACGGCCGCCGUGGACGUCUGGAGCGUUGGGUGCAUUUUCGGCGAGCUCCUGCGUAGGCGGAUCCUCUUCCAGGCGCAGAGUCCUGUGCAACAGCUGGAGCUGAUCACGGAAUUGCUGGGCACACCGACCCUCGAGGACAUGAGGUACGCGUGCGAGGGUGCGAGAUCCCACAUGCUGAGGCGCGCACCGAAGCCACCCUCGCUGACGGCCCUCUACACCCUCAGCAGCCAGGCGACGCACGAGGCCGUCCAUUUGCUCUGCCAGAUGCUAGUCUUCGAUCCCGACAAGAGGAUCACCGUGGUGGAUGCUCUGGCGCAUCCUUACCUCGACGAGGGAAGACUCAGAUAUCACUCGUGCAUGUGCACGUGCUGUUACACGACCAGCGCAGGCAUGAGACAGUACACGGGGGACUUCGAGCCAGCCACGUCUCAUCCCUUCGACGAUCUCUGGGAGCGGAAACUCACCACCGUGCAGCAGGUGAAAGAGGAAAUGCACAAAUUUAUAGCGGAACAGCUGAACACGUCGCGCGUGCCGCUCUGCAUAAAUCCGCAGUCCGCGGCGUUCAAGAGCUUCGCAAGUUAGGGCAAGCCGAUCGCCGACCCAGCGCCCUGCGCCGCGUAUACGUACACGUUACUACUCCAACCAGUACCGAAUCAGCUAUCUACCACUGUCAGCUACUAUCGACUACUACCGCUAUCGUCUACUACUACUACUACCGCUACUACCGCUACUACUACUACCAAUCGUGUUACGUCUCCUCCUGAACGAACCGAACAAACAGAGAGUCAGCUCUAGCCGGCGCGACCUCGCUCGCAGAGCUCCACGGUGGCUCAUCCCUCGGAAUUGCCACCCUCUCCUCACCAAUGGGAAUAAAAAUCUUCUGCGAAAAUCGCGAACUCUCGAUGGAUUUUUGAGACAGAGAAAGAGAGAUGUAAUAACGAGAGACAGACUCACACACAGACACAGAGAAUCGCGCACAACCAACGGAAGAGCGAAAUCGUAACCCGGGAGAAUAAACGAUAGAAAGAGAGUGAGACAGAGGGGGAGAUAAAGAUAGAGCGUAGAAAAAGGAUCCACGAGGAAGGAAGCGAUGAGAAGUUGGGUCUGGGGGUGGGCAAGGAUGAGAAGAAAAGGAAACGCAGGAGAAGAGCCAAGAGAGACAAUAGACUGCCGAGCACUGUAGCCUCAAUUUUCGACUAGCCGAUAUAUACAUAUAUAUAUAUACAUAGACGUGUAUGUAUAUAGAUAUCUCUAUACUAUAUAUAUAUAUUAUUAUACAUAACGCUGUAUACAUACGAGGGAGAGAGAGAGACAGAGGGAGCCUAGGAGGAAGGACACACGAGUAGCCAAUUAUCGACGAGGGAGCAGCCGAUCACAAGCGAUCGGUAUCAUUUUUCUUGGGGGUUCGAGAGUGUUCACCGACCGAACCGAAAACGGGGUGUCGGAUACCGAACCAGGGGGAGACGAAAGCGAGAGGAGAGCGUGUUUAGUCUGUAAGGGAGCGUCGAAGAGACGGGCCAGUCUUAUUUUUUUUUUCUUCCUUUUUUUUUUGUUUUCUUUUUAGAUUUUUCACGCGUCGGGAGGAAGGCGGCCGCGGACCCCCUCUUUUAGGAAGAACCUGUACCCCUUCUCCUAUUCGAUUUUAACGUGUUUUUGCUGGAUAACAGAAGACGAGGGAAACGUUGAGUGUAGAGCAGAAAAACUUAGAGGUGCAAUUCAUGGACGAUUUGGUAUAUGUGCGAGGUGUGAUUACUUGUACGUCUUAAACAAGAUGUUAUCAUGUUUUUGUAGAGUCAUCUUUAGGAUCUGCUACAGUUGAAUUUAUCGAAUAAAUUCAUAAGUCUGCUGAUCACUUCAAAACCGAGACCUGCGAUUAAGACUAAAUUGGAUUUUUGAUACCUGAGAAUUACGACGAUAUUUGCAAUGGAAACUCUAUCGAGUCAUUCAAAUAAAAACGUAUGGAAACUUAUAUAUAUAUAUAUACUAUGUACAUAGAGUUAAAAGAAAGUGUGUAAAUAUUGAACUACGAUAUAAUCUUUUUUUGCUUGAAUAAUAUCGUGAAACUCGUUGUUGAAGAAACGUAGAAGAUGUGUAUGUGAAUCUAUCGGACCUAACACCACUUAAAUUUAAUGAGUAGUGCAAUGUACGUACGAACAUCGUCGCAAUUUUCAAAUAUCAAAUAUCUGUUUUGUUUCCAAUCACAGCCUUUUACUUGAUAGCGAUCAUUUCCAUUCUUUUCAUGUAUUUAUUCAGUAAAUUCGACAACAGUCUUCUUGAAAAAUUUCACCUCUGGGAACUGUACUAUUUUUUCUAUUAUUAACGAAGUCCACUGAAUAAGGGAUCUCUAAACUCAUCGAGCAUCUACAUUUAAUAUUCGAAUGGAUUCUUCACCAUCCAGCAAGAACGGUCCAAAAUAAAAUGGAGACGAGUUAGGUUUUCUUAUAGAUAAACUAUCUACUUUCAAUUGCGCGAAGAGAUCUGGAAACAUUGUCAUGUAAUCGAGGAGUGGUUCACUAUGUUCUCGUAUGCCUUUGUAGUGAAAUGGCAGUUCACAACUAAACUCGCACGCGAAGAAAAGUAGAUACUAGCUUCCUAAGCAAGCGAAAAAAUCGACUAGACCAGAGCGAAAGGUUCCAGGAACCUCUAUAGAAUUGCACUCGACUCCUGAGUCGAUUGUUUCGCUUACGCCUGGACCAAAAUAGCGAACGAGAGGGCACAAGUUGAGCCCCUUUCCUCCCCUCUAGAUUUUAUUGUCGGGAACGUUCUGCAAUCCGAUUCUUCGUCCAAGAAAGAAGCCGACCGGAACAGAAGACACAAGGACGCGCGAGGAGCUCCUAACUUCGAGGACAAGUCCUGCCAGGAUCUCCAAGGAGUCGAGAAUCGCGAUCCCUCGAGGACUUUCGCGGUUUUCAACGCCAAUCUUCGCUGCGAGGAUUAGUCGGUUGUAAAGACCGACCUCGGAGGGAGCCUAGAUUCGAUUCGAGUUCUUCAGGGUUGGCUGAACAGAUUGCUAGCCCUCCUGGCAAGGGUAACAGACGUAACGAUGUCUCUGUUCGAACGAUAACCGCGAAUCGGGGUUGUUGCACCCUCGUAGCCACGUCAAAUGGCCCUGUCGUCGCGACUCGAUGAAAGGUUACGUCUGCGACCCCUGUGAGUCGGUCGACUCGAGCGGAACAACUUAUUCUGCGUCGCGUUUAGUUUGAUUAGCGAACUUCUGUCCUGUUCUGAGUUUUCGGUAGAGAGACGCUCCAAUCGCGGAGACAUCGCGGCGGAAACGUCGACUCGAACAGGACUCGAUCCGCCUUGGAUCGCGAUCGACCGACUUCUCUAGCUAUCUUUCAGGAAGCUUCUGUCCAGGAAUGCUCAAGAGUCGCGUGGAUCCCCAGAACUCUCGCACGGUCGUAGAUCGCGCGAUUCGUUUCGUUAAUUAAGAAAACUACGCUCGUAUCCUCGAGAGCAUAGGGUCUCCGAGUACCCUCCUCGCGUAAAUAGCUAUUCUACGUUUAUAGUUUGAGUGCGUAAAAGUGCUUCCGUGCGAGAUCCUUGGUUUUGGCUAUCCAGGCCCAACGAUCGCGAACUUUCCUUCCUUCGAUCCUGUUUUGCGUUUGAACGAACGUCCCACGAUCCCGAUGGCGCGUCCUUCCUUCGGGGGACGAUGAACUAUCGUCGAGCGACCAUCACCGUUUCAGGUGAACGUUUCCUUUCCCGUUUAUUUCGAUUCAGACGCAACUCCCAGGCCAAACGAAGGACGCACGGGUACCCAUUAGUUACGUUCUGAGUGUGAUUUUAGUUUAAGGAACUUAGGUAGCCAGUAGCUCGCGGGGAUCGCUCAAUGGCCCCCUUAGGUAGCGAUAUUUAGCUGUAGCGGAUACUUUUGAUUUUGUAAAUGAACCGUAAACACAAGGCACACACCCACAGAGGCAGACAUGUGUUCUCUUUUUUACGCAGACUAAUUUCUACUAAGGAUCCCGUUGCGAGGAUCGAUAACAAUGUAAUCGUUUAAGUACUUUUUAGCGUAUCGCGUCGAGGCGGAGGGAAAAAGACAGACUUUCGAGGGAAAGAGAGGGGACAGAAUCGAACUGAUUUUUCGAAGGAUCCGUAGAUCAUUUUUUGUUUGUUUGUUCGAUUCGAGGACUCCGAAGGGAGUUCGUCGCGAGGACGAUCGUCUUUUGUGAAUACACCCUGAUAUGUUUAGUAGACGCACACUACCGCUCGGACGCCUCGGGACGAUCGUGUUUUUCAGGAGAAUAUUUUCUUAUUCGAUAAGUCGAUGGUUAGAGUAACGUGCGUUUCAGACAACUUAACCGAGGUUUCAGCUAUCCACAAAUUAAUCAAUGCCGCGACGGUUUCAAAUGCAUCUCGAACACGUUAAACAAAAUCGUAUCGAUCAUUUUGUUGCCAAGUACCUGGCACCUCGCCCAAUCAUCGAACGUGUACCUAUCGUCUUAGGUAUCGGAAGAUUAAAAUUCCUACCGAGUUUUGUUAGAAAAAAUACACAUCCUCGGGCUUUCGAGCAGCAACGUAGAUUCUUAGCGAUUGUUCGAGCUCGCGGCUCCCUUCGUCGGGGUACCUCUUGUAAUUAACCAUGUAACGAGUCGGUCUCGAGCGAAAGAGCGCUUCUCUCGUCAUUUGUAAAUAGGUCAUCAGCGCGUUCACCGUGUACAUAAACUUUUAGUAGCUCAUGAAUCGAAUCACCGCAAAAGCGCAUACCGCACCACGCCCGGAAUUCCCGUCGCGUCUGAUCGCAGGACACGCCGCGAUCCUUUCAGCCGGGAACACUUAAUAGGAAAACUUCUCCGAAACCGUUGGAUCGCAUUUUUUUUUUUUUUUUUUCUUUGUCAAACGACGUCAAACGUGAUCGUCCAGCGUCAGACGCCGCGAGAAUCCGACAUGUUCCACCGGGUCCUAGAAACUUGGACGAACGAAGGUGUUCCUUCAGGACUUUCCCAUGAUUUUAAUGAUCUCGUUGCUUCGUUGUAGAAGGAAUCGUUCGAAAAGAACGCAAAGUCGUUGACUCGAGAUUGAACUUGCAUUUGUACUUGGGGACUGUCCAUAGAUUCGUGCGCAAUUUUUGUGAAAACGAAACGACGUUGUACAACUUUAAUUAUUGAUUGAGUUUUAAUUCAUAGCGGAUCGUAGGGUUUCGUUUUCGCGAUAGCGUAAGGGUCCAGCUUAGCCUUUCGCUAGGAUUCUUGUAUGUUCGAAGGCAUUAGAAAACAUGUUUAUAUUAAUUAACGCGAUAAGUGUAUAGAUGUAGUUGGUAUCGAUCGAUAAUAUUCAACGAAAUUUUUCCUUAACCCAUUAAGUACUACGUUAUUGUUUUUCAAUGUACUAUAUGUUAGAAAUUCAUUUCUUAAUGUUAUGGCUUGUACUAUAAGUAGAACUUUAGCACUUAGAAGUAGGUUUAUACAAACAUUUUUUUAAGUAUAACUCGACGUAGUCUUAAUAACGUAGGACCAGAAAGGUCGAACGAACUUCUGCUGAAUACGAUAUUUUUGUAUUCGUAGUACAUUAUUAAUAAGGUUGCAAAAAGUUACAGUGCACUGUGUUCGAGUCCCAAAUCUACACCCUAAAAAUCACGCGGUAUUCCAAUAAAUUCCAACACCGUUUAAAAAACAAUUGGAAAGUCCUCUGCAUAGGACACCGGUACUUAAUGGGUUUCAAAAACUUGGUCAGAGAAAAUUGUACAGAGUUGAAACAGCUAUAAACAAUUUUCCAACCAUGUUCCGCGAACUCAGAGACACGCCGAAUCAAAUGGACGCACGAUUUUAUGGACCGACCCUACAUUUCGCCACUUUUACACGGUUCGUUUUUCUUUUUAUUCCAUUUUAAAUAAAUCCCCCUCCUCCCACCCACUGUCGAACUUCGCGAAAGGCCUGUCGCGUUUUAUUUUACGUUUCGAAUUACGACGUUUUUAAUCGUUCAGAGCCUCUCGCGAGCGCCCCGAAACUUUCGUCCCAAGCUCGUCGAGUCCGACGAAAAACGAAGCGAAUCAAGCCAGAAAAGAAACUCGUUCGUUGCCCCUUUUCCCCAAAGAUAAGUCCUGGAAGAAGAACUCUUCGAUUCCGGUGCAAGUUUCGCGGCGAUCCGAAUUCGCAAUUUAAUUAAUCCCCCCGGGAGGAAGCGUGGAGAUGAAAAGAGAGAAGAGAGAUCCUUUUAAAGAAAAAGAGAAAAAAAAACAAACAAAAAACGAAACAGUGCGAAUGCGCGGCGUGCGAGUGUGCGAGGGAAUAAUGUACGUAUGCGUGAAAAUUAAUGUUUCCUAUUAAACGAUGAAAAAAAAAAAAAUGAACACAAACACACACAGACACAUACAGAAUUAAUACGUAGAUGAUUACUUAACGGGAAGAUAUGUAAAUACGUAGCUCACUGUAGCUGGUCAGUUGGGCAUUUAACGAGUACCGUCUCGAGAUACGAGACGAGACGAAAAAGUGGUAAACAAAGCAAAACAAAAAAAAAAAAAUGAAAAAUCAUAAAUACAGAGUAGGGGGUGAACCUCUCUCUACGUCGCGCUUACACAUUCACAAACACACACACUCAUACACGUGAAAAUACACAAAGGCACACGCGCGGUGUAUACGCAGGCAUUUUGUUCUUCGGAUAUAUACGCGUUUGAAACUUAUCGCGUGCGUCAGCGUUGGUAUCUCUCGACAGAGAGCCUCGAACAAAGACGGAAACAAUACCGGAAGUCUAGGUGAUAUAAUGCAUAUAAGUCGUAAGUUACCUAUAGAUAACGAGUAAUUAAGCGACAAGACAAACAAUCAAACAAAAACAAAAAAAUAAAAAAAACUCCACGUAUACUCCACACUAGCGAAUAUGCCUUCAUUAUGGAAAGUGGCUGGCACGAGAUGCACCGAAACAAAUAAAGUUGCUACGGAUCGAGAGAGAGAGAGAGAGAGAGAGUAAACGAAAAAAAGAAUAGGAAAAAAAAAGAGAAACCACGAGAAGAAGAAAGCACGGAGACGACUGCAAACGGUGCUUGUUUUUUUUUUUCCUCUGGUCUCCAGAUUUGGCACAUCGUUUACCGUCACCCUCGCUCUUCCCUCGACCCUUUUUUUCUUUUA